rnacentral:rRNA from 1 species
GAACCAGACUCCUACGGGAGGCAGCAGUGGGGAAUAUUGGGCAAUGGAGGAAACUCUUACCCAGCAAUGCCGCGUGAGUGAAGAAGGUCUUCGGAUUGUAAAGCUCUUUGAUUGGGGAUGAAUAAAUGACGGUACCCAAAGAACAAGCCCCGGCUAACUACGUGCCAGCAGCCGCGGUAAUACGUAGGUGGCGAGCGUUGUCCGGAAUUACUGGGUGUAAAGGGAGUGUAGGCGGGAAGGCAAGUCAGAAGUGAAAAUUAUGGGCUCAACCCAUAACCUGCUUUUGAAACUGUUUUUCUUGAGUGAAGCAGAGGCAAGCGGAAUUCCUAGUGUAGCGGUGAAAUGCGUAGAUAUUAGGAGGAACACCAGUGGCGAAGGCGGCUUGCUGGGCUUUUACUGACGCUGAGGCUCGAAAGCGUGGGGAGCAAACAGGAUUAGAUACCCGAGUAA